GGCUGACCUACCGUAGUUCUUCUCUGGCAAACUUUAUGACUCUGUCUUUACGCUAAAGCUGCCAGCUGAAGAACUGUUGUGGUCAGCU
rnacentral:pre_miRNA from 8 species